rnacentral:rRNA from 1 species
GACGAACGCUGGCGGCGUGCCUCAUACAUGCAAGUCGAGCGGCUGUAGCAAUACAGCAGCGGCGGACGGGUGAGUAACACGUGGGCAACCUGGCCUUAAGAGGGGGAUAACGUUUCGAAAGGAACGCUAAUACCGCGUAACGCAGAGAGAUCGCAUGAUUUCAUUGCAAAAGGAGAAAUCCGCUUAAGGAUGGGCCCGCGGCCUAUUAGCUAGUUGGUAAGGGUAAUGGCCUACCAAGGCGACGAUAGGUAGCCGACCUGAGAGGGUGAACGGCCACACUGGAACUGAGAACGGUCCAGACUCCUACGGGAGGCAGCAGUAGGGAAUAUUCCGCAAUGGGCGAAAGCCUGACGGAGCAACGCCGCGUGAGUGAAGAAGAUCUUCGGAUUGUAAAGCUCUGUCAACAGGGACGAUAAUGACGGUACCUGUGGAGGAAGCCACGGCAAACUACGUG